UCUCUUUACUCUCUCCCUUUCUUUCUCACACACAUGAGACCCACCAUCUACCACCCCACCUCUUCUCCAUACCACAUGUGCAAAACUCUUCACUCAAACAAACUUUGAAUUGACGAUGAAAAAGCACAGAGAAAUCAGAGGCGUUUGGAAUUAUGGUUUGUGAAACACAAUAUAUAUAAUGCAAAAAGGAAUCCAAAAUUGAUCUCUUUGUGCAAAAUUCUUCACUCAAACAAAGACUUCCAAAAGGAAUCCAACUAACUGAUCCAAAAAGCAACGUUGCUUUUCGGGAACAACACAUAUCCGCCAUUGAAGCUUUCAAGUAACUUAUUACAAUCCACAACUCCACAACUCAUGUUGCUUCCUUAACCCAAUCUAGGCCCAAGCAAUUUUAUCCCAUGACGUGCAAUGAAAUCACCUCUAGUGGUACCAAACCACAUCCCAAGCCGAUUAAAGUAGCAUAAUUGGUGUAGUUGUAAAUUGCCAUUUUAGUCCCUAAGUUUUGUCCAAAUUUGUCAUUUUAGUUCAAAUAGUUUUUUUU